rnacentral:lncRNA from 1 species
AGUUCUUUGCUUACACAUUUACACGUAUGGCAAUUGGAAUUUUUUUUUUUUUACAGACUACGUUCUGAUUCCCUAUACUUCAAACUUGGUUUCUUCUUCACCCUGGAUACUUGCAGAGCCGGGCACCACUCAUGUGAUAAUGCCAGGCUGGAUUCUCUAGAAGCAGAUGCUGGGAGGCUAUUUGGGGUACAAGGUGUUCGUUAGGAAUCAACAGCUGUGUUGGGAAGGAGAGGACACAGGAUCGCACAAAGUCAACAGUGCUGUAGAGAGCCCUCCAGAGGGUAGCAUUUGUCAGAGUGUUCUCCAUUGGGCUGAAACACCUGGGCAUUCAUGUUCUUCUCACUCAAUCACCAGUUUCAGCUCUCAAAAAGAAACAAAGUUUGAUGGUGAACAAAAUGCAAAGAUCAGGAGGACCCAGAGCCCAGAAAGCAAUAUAGAGGGGGAAUCCCUGGGAAGAGAAGAGGGCACGGCGCUGAGAGCACCUUCUAAUUAGGUUAUGGAUCCUUGAUCAAGUUGGGCUGGAGCAAGGGAAAGCCUUGAUCAUGCCAAAGAAGUCGCUGUGGCCCAAUGGACAACAUUUUUCUGCAUGAAUUAACAUAUCAGUGUCUGUGUUGUAGAAGAAUCUUGGUGGAAAAAUUCUACAGAUCUGAGAUCUUUAACAACACCAUGUGAUGAUUAUUACUGCUUAUGGGCAGCAAGUGGGAGUAGCAAACUGUGAUAUUGGCAAAAGAAAGCUGAUAUUCUUCUUUCCAGAAGGUAUACUACAUCAAAGACGGAAAAAAAAAGGUAACCCCAGCAAAAACUUUUGCCCAAACUCUCUUUGUUUACAGUCUCUGCUGGAUUGAUUUCGAUGCUUCUAUUACAGAAAUGCAAGAAACUUGUCCUUCUGUGUCCUGUAGAACAUGACAGAGGAGACUUAUGGCUGAACAUCAGCACAGACCCAUCAUUAGUUUCUCCUUUAAAAGAGGUCAAUAUAAAGACUCAAAAACAUGGAGAAAAACUGCCCACCUGGCCUGCAGCAACUUGGCUACAAUGCAUGGAUAACUCCUUUUCUUAUGUGUCCUCAAAUCAUUAAAUGGUUAGCUCUCAGCUCAGAAUGCAGCAUCAUUUUGGACACUUAAAGAUUCUCACUUCAAGUCUGUGAUGAUUGGUGGGCAAAAGUCUAACAGGUAAUGCCUAGUAUAGAGUAAUUGUCCAUUAAAUGUUUGUUGGAUGACAGUUCCUAUACCUUGAUUGUUUCCUCCCUGAAAUCCUACCACACUUGUGUCACAAAAGUAAUAGUGUAUACAGAUUAACCUUUUUUAUCUUGCUUAUUCUUACCUACUAGACUAUACAUUCAUUAAAUCCACAGAUUAUAUGUCCUUGUAUCUUUGCUGUUGGUGUACUGCCUGGUACCCAUCAGGUAUUCCAGUGAUCUUGUUUCUGCAGUUAGGUUAUUAAAAGGUUCAUGAGUAGCAUCUAUAAUAAGUCUUUUAUGUACCUCUCAAUAUUUAAGACAGAGUUGUUCCAUGCAGUUGGCACACAAUAAAUGUUACUGACAAUGACACUGAGGGAUUGAGAAGAAAAAAAUUCACCUUUCUUGAGAUUCUGAGCCUGUAUCUAUCUUGGCUAAGUAAUUAUGCAGAUAAUUAAGGCUAAAAAGAAACUUGCUGUUUUCAUUUGCACGGAACUGCCAGGAGUCUAGGUCUGCGGUGAUCAAAGUCUCUAGGUGAUGGUUUAACUCCUUGUCUCCCCAACCUUUACAGACAAACCCAUAGCACUGAGCCAUCCCAGAGAGCCAAAAAGAGCUAGAGUUAAAAUAACAGUCGAGCGUCGGAUUUAAGAGGGAGAGACAAAGAGAAUAGAGAUGUCAUUUUUAUCUUUAGAAAAAUGAUCACCUCACUUGCUGCAUUUUGGUAAAUGGUCAGUAGAUGCCUAUGAAGAUAAUGAUGAAAAUGCUGAAUGAAAUUGCUGAGCGAGGUCAAGAGUGGACUGUGGGAGAUAGGUAUUUGGUAUUUGCUGUUAAGAUAAAGGAUGGCCCUCACUCUCACCUUCCCCCCACUUUCCCCAUUUAUUGCCAACUAUGAAGUCUUUUCUAAUUGUCCUUUUUAGGGAAACCCUGUCUACUAGGCACUCGGAGAAAAAUUAAAGCCUGGGAGGGAAGCAAUAAUGCUAGUGUUUCCAGGCACACAGAAAAGAAGAGACCACUCCAGGUCCACGCAAAUGUGAGGAACAGAAAAUGAGAGAUGGGCUGGGUGAGGAUCCCUGGGAUCCAGGGGCUGUAGGUCAGUAAAAACGGGCUGCUUUUGUAAAGACCUCCUCUCUGGAUGUCGGGUCGUUUCUCCCACACAGCCACCAAACAAGGCAAGCAUUCGCUUAACACUUUUUUCUUUCCUUUCUUUUUCUUUUUGGUCAUUAACUAAGGCAUUUAUUAAAUAUUUUUACAACAGGCCCUCACAUGUAUGGUUUCAGUGCAUAUGUGGUGUACGUGUAAACACUGCUGCAUUAAAUUUAAAAUUACAGUGAACUUUGUCAAGAGUGCGUGGAGAAAUGUCAAAUAACUGCUAUGGAAAAUAAGGUUAUAUAGUUCUUCCUUAAUAUAAUAGAUCUUAAUGUUGGUUCUCUUAUAUGUUUAAAAUAAGAAUUACUACAACAACAAAAAAAACCCCACAGAAGUAUCUCAUCCAUUACUGUUAAAUGCUGGUGAACAUCAUAUGGGUUAUAAUUUUAAUAUUUUUUUAUUUUGCAAUGUAUUAAAUAAUUAUUCUUGUGCAAUAACUACAUGCAUUUAGAGUGUGCAAUUCAAAGAGGAGGUCAUGGGAAUCCCAACUUGAAGCCAGUGGGUCAGAAUUUCCUGAGGCCUAGACUUGCAACUGGUGUCUAAGGGGGCAUAGUCUUGGGGACUGAGCUCUUGGCCUGUGGUAUCUGACACUGUCUCCAAGUACAUAGUGUCAGAAUUUAAUUGGAGGAUACUCAGCUGGUGUCCACUGCUGGUUGGUGGAGAAAAACCUCCACACAUUGGGCUACAGGAGUCUUCUGUGUUGAUUGCUUGUGGUAUGAGAGCAGAGGAAAAACCUGGUUUGAGAGUUUUUCCAAAACUUAAUUUUUUUUUUUUUUUGUAGACAGGGUCUCACUCUGUCACCUAGCCUGGAGUGCAGUGGCACAAUCUUGGCUCACUGCAACCUCCACCUCCCAGGUUCAAGCGAUUCUCCUGCCUCAGCCUCCAAAGUAGCUGGGAUUACAGGCGCAUGCCACCACACCUGGCUAAUUUUUGUAUUUUUAGUAGAGAUGGGGUUUCACCGUGUUGGCCAGGCUGGUCUCGAACUCCUGACCUCAGGUGAUCCGCCCGCCUAGGCCUCCCAAAGUGCUGGGAUUACAGGCAUAAGCCACCAUGCCUGGCUCCAAAAUUUUAAUAUUUAAGGUGCUGGAUAUCCUAAUUACUUUGAUUUCAUUAUUAAAAUGUAUCAGAUUACCCCAUAUACACCAAAAAUAUGUAUAUCUUAUAUGUAAAUAAAAUAAAUAAAAAUAAUUAUGGUAAAUCUUAAAAAGUGUGUGCAAUUCAUGAGUUUUGACAGUGGCAUACACCCACAAAAGUGCCACCACAAUCAGGAUUCAGAACGUGUUUAUCA